rnacentral:rRNA from 1 species
GAGUUUGUCGUGGCUCAGGACGAACGCUGGCGGCGUGCUUAACACAUGCAAGUCGAGCGGAAAGGCCCUUCGGGGUACUCGAGCGGCGAACGGGUGAGUAACACGUGAGUAACCUGCCCUAGACUUUGGGAUAACCCUCGGAAACGGGGGCUAAUACCGGAUACUCCUUCUGCUUCGCAUGGAGCGGUGGGGAAAGUUUUUCGGUCUGGGAUGGACUCGCGGCCUAUCAGCUUGUUGGUGGGGUAAUGGCCUACCAAGGCGACGACGGGUAGCCGGCCUGAGAGGGCGACCGGCCACACUGGGACUGAGACACGGCCCAGACUCCUACGGGAGGCAGCAGUGGGGAAUAUUGCACAAUGGGCGGAAGCCUGAUGCAGCGACGCCGCGUGAGGGAUGACGGCCUUCGGUU